GCAUUGGUGGUUUAAUGGUAGAAUCCUUGCCUUCCAUACAGGAGACUAAGGUUCAAUUCCUGACCAACGAA
rnacentral:tRNA from 1 species